UCUUAUCUAUGUUGUCCAGGUGAACUGCGUGCCUCACCUGGUGCCUUUUUGCAGCUGCUUUGUGAUCCCUCAGCACACGAAACACGUUACACAUACAGCUGUUGACAAAAAACACUGUAUUAUGUACAUCAGCUAAACCGUGGAAUUUAAGUUCAUGUAACCAAAGUGUUUGAACAUUUUAAUGCCAACAUACAGAGAGACAGUGAGACAGUCUCACUGCACAGCAUUCCAGCAGUUAGCCCAGUGAUUGUGCAAUCCAUGGUGAGGCACAGCAGGCUGCUGCCUCACCGCACGUCUCUUCUCAGUAUUUGAACUGCAAUUGUG